CCUACGGGUGGCAGCAGUGGGGAAUAUUGCACAAUGGGGGAAACCCUGAUGCAGCGACGCCGCGUGAGUGAAGAAGUAUUUCGGUACGUAAAGCUCUAUCAGCAUGGAAGAAAAUGACGGUACCUGACCAAGAAGCCCCGGCUAACUACGUGCCAGAAGCCGCGGUAAUACGUCGGGGGCAAGCGUUAUCCGGAUUUACUGGGGUUAAAGGGAGCGUAGGCGGCAGGGCAAGUCUGGAGUGAAAUUCCAUGGCUUAACCAUGGAACUGCUUUGGAAACUGGGCAGCUGGAGUGCAGGCGAGGUAAGCGGAAUUCCUAGUGUAGCGGUGAACUGCGUAGAUAUUAGGAGGAACACCGAUGGCGAAGGCGGCUUACUGGACUGUAACUGACGUUGAGGCUCGAAAGCGUGGGGAGCAAACAGGAUUAGAUACCCGAGUAGUC
rnacentral:rRNA from 1 species